GUGUUUAGCUCAGUUGGGAGAGCGACGGCCUUACAAGCCGUAGGUCACAGGUUCAAGCCCUGUAACAC
rnacentral:tRNA from 1 species